ensembl:snRNA U6 U6 spliceosomal RNA
UUGCUUCGGCAGCAAAUAUACUAAAAUUGGAACGAUACAGAGAAGAUUAGCCUGGACCCUGCGCAAUUCGUGAAGCAUUCCAUAUUUAA